CAGAGUCCCUUUCUCCUCUGCAGGGUUGGAGAUAGGAUGAUCUACUGGUAUAAUCUGCAGUCAGCUUUCACUGCUUCUCUGACUAUGAAUGACUGGUCAUCACUGCCCUCUGCAAGAGGCGAAAAAUGAAAGGGGACAGAGAAGUGGAAGUGACAAUGAACUCAACGCAAUUGAGGAACAUACCAGUAGGAUUGGUCUGAAAUUUAAAACAAAAAAUGAAGGAAAAGGAAUCUAGAAACUUUGACGAUGUUUACUAGACUUCCUCGCAACUUCGCAGUAAUUGAGAGUAUUAGGAAAUAGGACUACUAAUCCCGAAGAGGCAGUUCCCUGCUGGCUGACUUUCUGCUGACAUCAUCCAAGAAUAGGCUUCAGCUGCCCGAAGGACCUGUACUUCGUAUGCACCGCGCCCCUGGAACUAGAGAGCCCCAGCCACUCUGGAAGCACUACAAAGAUUAUUCAAAACUUGUGAGGUUCCUCAUCCGUGCUUGCUUGAACCCGCGGAUACAGAGGGCAGACUACAGGACCUGAGCAUCCGCAGAUUUUGGUAUCCACAGAGGGACAACUGUACUGGGCCUUCAACAAUGGGCUCCUGCACAGAGCUUGAAACCCAGAAGCUUCUGCUAAUUGACGUAAUGAUUGCUACUAAGGAGAAACUGAGAUAUUUUCCUAGCAUUUGCCUCUCUUGCCAGCCUGAUUCAAAUCUGUUGGACUUCAAGGCAUAGUAUAGGUCCCUCUGGUUUAAUCAAGAUUUGGACUAAACCUUCUCCAUGUUCCUG
rnacentral:lncRNA from 1 species